UACGGCGGGUGCAAGCGUUAUCCGGAUUCACUGGGUUUAAAGGGUGUGUAGGCGGAUUUUUAAGUCAGUGGUGAAAUCUCCGGGCUCAACCCGGAAACUGCCAUUGAUACUAUUAGUCUUGAAUUCUGUUGAGGUGGGCGGAAUACAUCAUGUAGCGGUGAAAUGCUUAGAUAUGAUGUAGAACACCGAUUGCGAAGGCAGCUCACUAAGCAGACAUUGACGCUGAGGCACGAAAGCGUGGGGAUCAAACAGG
rnacentral:rRNA from 1 species